rnacentral:ncRNA from 2 species
UUCUUAUCCAGAGAGGUGGAGGGACUGGCCCAAGGAAGCCUCGGCAACAGACUUAUUUGAUUAAGUACUGUGCCAAUUCCAGUAGCGUAAUUGCUAGAAGAUGAGAA